GUAUACUCAAGCUCUGCUUGGUGUUGGGCGUCUGUCCCGCUUCGUGCGCGGACUCGCCCCAAAGGUAUUGGCAGCGGUCUUGCCAGCUUCUCGCGCAGCACAUUGCGCUUCUCGAGGCUUUUGGCGGAUCGGCGUCCAUCAAGCCCUCCACA
rnacentral:misc_RNA from 1 species